rnacentral:tRNA from 1 species
CUGGGUAGCUCAGUUGGUGAGAGCGUACGGCUCAUACCCGUAAGGUCGAGAGUUCGAAUCUCUCCCC